UAACACACUUGUAUAUCAUGUUGGUUCGUAGUAGCCGUCACCUGAAGUAAGAAGCUCUAGCCUCCGCGUCUAGCCGGCCGUAACCUACUAACAUCUGGUUCUAAUUUCUAUCCCAACCAAGCAAGCAGAACUGAGCAACCAAACAAAGGAAGAACCCCGGAGGGAAUCAGCUAGGGAAAGAAUCCUAUGGCAACUCGCACGUGGGAAGCGCAGACGACGACUGGGGACGGCCAUAGACCUCCGUAUAUAGUAAAGUCUGGCCAUGACAUAAGUUCAAAAAAAAAAGAGUCUGGCCAAGACAUGAAACACCGUCGAUCGCUUUUCUGCGCGCGCGACUGCAUGCAUAUACGAAUAGAUUCCCC
rnacentral:lncRNA from 1 species